rnacentral:rRNA from 1 species
GUGAACCAGUACCGUGAGGGAAAGGCGAAAAGAACCCCGGCGAGGGGAGUGAAAAAGAACCUGAAACCGUGUACGUACAAGCAGUGGGAGCACAGGUUUACCUGUGUGACUGCGUACCUUUUGUAUAAUGGGUCAGCGACUUAUAUUCUGUAGCAAGGUUAACCGUAUAGGGGAGCCGGAGGGAAACCGAGUCUUAACCGGGCGUUAAGUUGCAGGGUAUAGACCCGAAACCCGGUGAUCUAGCCAUGGGCAGGUUGAAGGUUGGGUAACACUAACUGGAGGACCGAACCGACUAAUGUUGAAAAAUUAGCGGAUGAUCUGUGGCUGGGGGUGAAAGGCCAAUCAAACCGGGAGAUAGCUGGUUCUCCCCGAAAGCUAUUUAGGUAGCGCCUCGUGAAUUCAUCUCCGGGGGUAGAGCACUGUUUCGGCUAGGGGGCCAUCCCGGCUUACCAACCCGAUGCAAACUGCGAAUACCGGAGAAUGUUAUCACGGGAGACACACGGCGGGUGCUAACGUCCGUCGUGAAGAGGGAAACAACCCAGACCGCCAGCUAAGGUCCCAAAGUCAUGGUUAAGUGGGAAACGAUGUGGGAAGGCCCAGACAGCCAGGAUGUUGGCUUAGAAGCAGCCAUCAUUUAAAGAAAGCGUAAUAGCUCACUGGUCGAGUCGGCCUGCGCGGAAGAUGUAACGGGGCUAAACCAUGCACCGAAGCUGCGGCAGCGAACGUAUCACCCAAGACAACUUUACGGAGUUGACGAUUGACGGAGCGAAGCGACGUCAAAGCGUUCAUUAAAGUCGAGUUGGCUUAGGGAUACGUUCGUUGGGUAGGGGAGCGUUCUGUAAGCCUGUGAAGGUGUGUCGUGAGGCAUGCUGGAGGUAUCAGAAGUGCGAAUGCUGACAUAAGUAACGAUAAAGCGGGUGAAAAGCCCGCUCGCCGGAAGACCAAGGGUUCCUGUCCAACGUUAAUCGGGGCAGGGUGAGUCGACCCCUAAGGCGAGGCCGAAAGGCGUAGUCGAUGGGAAACGGGUUAAUAUUCCCGUACUUGGUGUUACUGCGAAGGGGGGACGGAGAAGGCUAUGUUGGCCGGGCGACGGUUGUCCCGGUUUAAGCGUGUAGGUGUGUGUUCCAGGUAAAUCCGGUUCACUUUAACACUGAGGCGUGACGACGAGGCACUACGGUGCUGAAGCAACAAAUGCCCUGCUUCCAGGAAAAGCCUCUAAGCAUCAGGUAACAUCAAAUCGUACCCCAAACCGACACAGGUGGUCAGGUAGAGAAUACCAAGGCGCUUGAGAGAACUCGGGUGAAGGAACUAGGCAAAAUGGUGCCGUAACUUCGGGAGAAGGCACGCUGACACGUAGGUGAAGUGAUUUACUCAUGGAGCUGAAGUCAGUCGAAGAUACCAGCUGGCUGCAACUGUUUAUUAAAAACACAGCACUGUGCAAACACGAAAGUGGACGUAUACGGUGUGACGCCUGCCCGGUGCCGGAAGGUUAAUUGAUGGGGUCAGCGCAAGCGAAGCUCCUGAUCGAAGCCCCGGUAAACGGCGGCCGUAACUAUAACGGUCCUAAGGUAGCGAAAUUCCUUGUCGGGUAAGUUCCGACCUGCACGAAUGGCGUAAUGAUGGCCAGGCUGUCUCCACCCGAGACUCAGUGAAAUUGAACUCGCUGUGAAGAUGCAGUGUACCCGCGGCAAGACGGAAAGACCCCGUGAACCUUUACUAUAGCUUGACACUGAACAUUGAGCCUUGAUGUGUAGGAUAGGUGGGAGGCUUUGAAGUGUGGACGCCAGUCUGCAUGGAGCCGACCUUGAAAUACCACCCUUUAAUGUUUGAUGUUCUAACGUGGACCCGUAAUCCGGGUUGCGGACAGUGUCUGGUGGGUAGUUUGACUGGGGCGGUCUCCUCCUAAAGAGUAACGGAGGAGCACGAAGGUUGGCUAAUCCUGGUCGGACAUCAGGAGGUUAGUGCAAUGGCAUAAGCCAGCUUGACUGCGAGCGUGACGGCGCGAGCAGGUGCGAAAGCAGGUCAUAGUGAUCCGGUGGUUCUGAAUGGAAGGGCCAUCGCUCAACGGAUAAAAGGUACUCCGGGGAUAACAGGCUGAUACCGCCCAAGAGUUCAUAUCGACGGCGGUGUUUGGCACCUCGAUGUCGGCUCAUCACAUCCUGGGGCUGAAGUAGGUCCCAAGGGUAUGGCUGUUCGCCAUUUAAAGUGGUACGCGAGCUGGGUUUAGAACGUCGUGAGACAGUUCGGUCCCUAUCUGCCGUGGGCGCUGGAGAACUGAGGGGGGCUGCUCCUAGUACGAGAGGACCGGAGUGGACGCAUCACUGGUGUUCGGGUUGUCAUGCCAAUGGCACUGCCCGGUAGCUAAAUGCGGAAGAGAUAAGUGCUGAAAGCAUCUAAGCACGAAACUUGCCCCGAGAUGAGUUCUCCCUGAGACUUAGAGUCUCCUGAAGGAACGUUGAAGACGACGACGUUGAUAGGCCGGGUGUGUAAGCGCAGCGAUGCGUUGAGCUAACCGGUACUAAUGAACCGUGAGGCUUAACCUU